rnacentral:rRNA from 1 species
GAUGAACGCUGGCGGCGUGCUUAACACAUGCAAGUCGAACGGUGAAGGCGGAGCUUGCUCUGCUGGAUCAGUGGCGAACGGGUGAGUAACACGUGAGCAAUCUGCCCCUGACUCUGGGAUAAGCGCUGGAAACGGCGUCUAAUACUGGAUACGAGCUGCAAAGGCAUCUUCAGCAGCUGGAAAGAAUUUCGGUCAGGGAUGAGCUCGCGGCCUAUCCGCUUGUUGGUGAGGUAAUGGCUCACCAAGGCGUCGACGGGUAGCCGGCCUGAGAGGGUGACCGGCCACACUGGGACUGAGACACGGCCCAGACUCCUACGGGAGGCAGCAGUGGGGAAUAUUGCACAAUGGGCGAAAGCCUGAUGCAGCAACGCCGCGUGAGGGACGACGGCCUUCGGGUUGUAAACCUCUUUUAGCAGGGAAGAAGCGAAAGUGACGGUACCUGCAGAAAAAGCGCCGGCUAACUACGUG